UGUGUCGUGUUUGUGAAGAGAUAUUUCUUGCUCGGAAGAAGGAAAGUACACUAUGAUCAGAGGUUUACUGGCUUUUGUUGACAGAUGGGGACAAAAAGAGUCAGUGGGACCACAUUUAAAGAAAAAAAAAAGACACUAUAAGAGAAGGAAAGAGAUAUAUCAAAAAGUCAGAGAGACAAACAUGAUUAAAAAGAGUGAAAAA